GAUUUUCCUGCUCAUUACUGCUCUCAUGAUCACUGACAAUAUUUUCAUCAUCUCUGGUGAUCAUGGUGCGCUAAUGGGGAUGUUGAGAUGGAAUAUGCCCAACUCCUAGGCACUUGAAACACUUAAUAGCGCUUUGGCAAGCAGUAAGUGCCUUAGGAUUACCUGUUGAGUUGUCAGUUGGUUAAUUUCCCUUACUGUCAUCCACUUUUUUGCCUUCAUCCCCUCGAGUCCACCUUUAAUUACCCUAGGGAUUGUCACUAACAUAUCCUUAGUUGGUUCCUCUACCCUUUAGUUUCAUUUCAAUCUUGGUAGCCUUGUGUACCGUCUCUUCCAAAUUGACAUAAUUUUGAAGUUCAACGACGUUGGCUAUCUCCUUAUUUAGGCCCUCCAAGAACCGAGCCAUGGUAGCUUCUGGCCGUUCGUCUAUUUAGGCCCUAAUCAUAGUUAUUUCCAAUUUCUUGUAGUAUUUUUCCAUUAACUUGGAGCCUUGAAUUAGGUGUUGCAGCUACAGAUUCAUGUCCCUGUCGAAAUGGGUUGGUAUAAACCGUUUCCUCAUAAUGGAU
rnacentral:lncRNA from 1 species